AUGAAGUGCUUACGGGAGCUGAAACAAUUCUGUGUGCAAAAAGAGAGUGCUGGAUUUGAACUAAGUGAGUUGGGGGAACUAACAGAGCUUGGAGGAGAACUCAAUAUACAUAAUCUCGAGAAGGUGGCAACCAAGGAAGAUGCCACAACAGCCAAACUUCUAUAUAAAAGAGAUUUGAAAGAGCUGAGUUUAGUUUGGGGUACAUAUCACAAACAUAGCACAGAAUCUGAUGUUCUUGACGGUCUUCAGCCACAUGAUAAGCUUGGAGCACUGAGAAUUAUAAAUCAUGGUGGUACAACUGGCCCUAGUUGGUUGUCUGGUGACAUUAGCAUCAAAAUGUUGGGGUCUAUCCACCUGGAGGGUGUGUCUUGGGGCACCUUUCCACCUUUUGGGCAGCUAUUGCAUCUCACAUCACUCACAUUGAUCAACAUCUCUGUACUUCAUGAGAUCAAACCUGGUAUUUUUGGUGUUACAGACAAAAGCUUUGAGCAUUUGAAGCGGGUAGUUCUUGGUAAUUUGCCUGAAUUUAUCGAGUGGAUUGGGGGUGCUAAUGUCCAUUCUUUUUCAAGGUUGGAAGACAUCAGUUGCAGAGAUUGUCCCAAUCUAUGUGCAGUGCCCUUUCUGGAGUGCUCUGUCUCUUAUGCCAAUCUAACACAUUUUUGUAUUGUUGGUUGCCCGAAGUUGUCGCUGCCCCCAAUGCCACACACAUCCACACUGAAAUUACUGAAAGUGGGACUUAGUUCCACCGAUCUGUAUUAUGAUGAAAGGGGCAUGGUUAUCAAUGGGUACAGUGGUGGGCUGGCCUUUCAUAACCUGCAUAAAGUUAAGAGACUGACAUUAAGAGAUGUGCCACACAUUCCAUGGACAGAGCUCAGUAAUCAGAAAUCCCUAACAAGACUAUGUGCCAUUAGAUGCGGCAUCACGUGGCACGGACUCCAAAACUUCACAUGGCUCCGAUAUGUUAUAGUAGAAGACUGUGGCAACUUCUUUCGGUGGCCCAUCGAAGCAGCUCGCGCCAACAAGUCUUUCGCUGCUUCCCUCAAGAAACUUGAUAUUGAAGGAGAGUCAAGCCUAAAGUCAAUGGCUCUGCUCUCAACGCUCACUUGUCUCACUGAUCUUAGACUAGUGAACUCUAAGAAUCUAACAGUGGAUGGGUUCAAUCCUCUCACCAGAUUAAACCUCCAUAGGUUGGUUGUCUUUAAUACAGAAGAUUGUCUUAGCCGCUCCAUAUCAGCAGAUUUGUUCUCGGAAUUGGUGGUAGCAAGGACCAACCUAUCAUUGCCUGUAGGCUCCUUCCAAUCGCGAGAACUUACAGUGGGUUGCAUCUCAGCGGUGCUUGUUGCUCCCAUCUGCACCCUCCUCGCUGCUACCCUCGAGUAUUUAGAAUUCAGGCAUGAUCAGCGGCCAGAAAGCUUCACCGGGGAGGAAGACAGAGCUCUUCAGCUCCUCACCUCCCUCAGUUAUGUCGGAUUUAUGUAUUGCCCGAAUCUGCCGACCCUUCCUCAAGGUCUACACAGCCUUCCUCAUCUUCACAACCUACAUAUCAUUGGUUGUCCUCAGAUCCGAUCUAUGCCCCAGGGGCCCUUCCCCACUACACCGCAGUUUCUAUUCGGUUCCGAGCUAAGUUCCGAGCUAUGA
rnacentral:rRNA from 1 species